UACGAAGGGGGCUAGCGUUGUUCGGAAUUACUGGGCGUAAAGCGUGCGUAGGCGGCCAUCCAAGUCAGUGGUGAAAGCCCGGAGCUCAACUCCGGAAUUGCCAUUGAAACUGUUUGGCUCGAGUACGAGAGAGGUGAGUGGAAUUCCCAGUGUAGAGGUGAAAUUCGUAGAUAUUGGGAAGAACACCGGUGGCGAAGGCGGCUCACUGGCUCGUAACUGACGCUCAUGCACGACAGCGUGGGGAUCAAACAGG
rnacentral:rRNA from 1 species